GGGACUGGGGACUGGGACUGGGACAACCUCGUGGUGCAAAACUCUCCACGAUUGCCGCAACAGGAAGUUUUGAGCUGUCGAGAGCUGGGUUGGGAUUCUUCGAAGGAAAACGACAACUUGGCACGGCGCUAGUUGCUGGAGUUGGGCUGAAAUAAAAAAUCGGACCGCGGGGUGUUCUGGAUGCAAAUCGGCCCCUGCGUAAGUACUCUGUACUGUACCGUACAUACAGACACAUUCGAUAAAUAUCUUGACGAUCCUAAGUGAGAUUUUUUUUCCCUUUCUUUCUUUUUAUUUGAGAGAUGUGGAGUUUUGCAACAAGAGUUUAAUUUAGGGUAUUACAUGCAUAGCGAUGAAAAAUUCAUGACAGCGGGAAGGUCUGAUUUGUCCUUGUCAAAUUUCUCUGAAGGAAAAUAGCCUGAUCCAACGAGCAAAAUCUCAAGGGUCCGAUUUGCCACUCUGGUCUUUUUCAAUGACAAAUACUCUAGUCGACAGGAACAUACGGAGGAGGAACUGAAUAGUUGAUUGACCUACUCUAAGUGCCUACCUAGUCUGCAAUCCGCAGGCUUGUCCUGACAGAGGGUUCGUAGCAAAACUGUAGAUCAGGGAAACAAGCAUUAGCUGACGGGAAGUGAUACGAAAAUGGGGGAAUUUGCAGCCUAGAAACAGGGGCUAGUUUUGGCGAAUACAUAAUCUGCAC
rnacentral:sRNA from 2 species